rnacentral:lncRNA from 1 species
GAAAAAAAAAGUAUUUGGCUAUCAUGUUCUCUAGCACGGCUUUCACUUGCUUGAGUUGGUAAUUUGUCCAUUUUGCACGACUUUUUGGCUUUGUGAACUCAAUGUUCUUUUUUCCCCUGCAGUCAAAACUCAUCCUGUCCUCAUCCCAUGGCCCCAAGGUGCAAACUGCACCUUCUUGCAGCACAGCUCUGUCCUGCACCUCCACCAUGCCAUGGGGAACCAUCCAGAGACCUCCCAGCUGGCUGAGACCAGGCAGGGCAAGGGUAGAGGUUACAGUAUUUCCAUAAAUGAAUGCACAGCUCAGAGAGAGCCCUGAAGGAUCAUAAAGAACAUUUAUAUCUGGUGAGUACCACAAACCCUUGCUAAUGCCAAAAGCCUG